UGGCGGCGUGCCUAACACAUGCAAGUCGAGCGGAGUUGACAAGAGGAAGUUUCGGAUGGAAUUUGUUAAUUAGCGGCGGACGGGUGAGUAACGCGUGAGCGACCAACCUUGCACAGGGGGAUAACGGACCGAAAGGUUCACUAAUACCGCAUGAGACCACGGUGUUGCAUGACACAGGGGUCAAAGGAGCAAUCCGGUGCAAGACGGGCUCGCGUCCGAUUAGGUAGUUGGAGGGGUAACGGCCCACCAAGCCUAUGAUCGGUAGCCGACCUGAGAGGGUGAUCGGCCACAUUGGAACUGAGAUACGGUCCAGACUCCUACGGGAGGCAGCAGUGGGGAAUAUUGGGCAAUGGGCCGCAAGCCUGACCCAGCGACGCCGCGUGAGGGAAGAAGGUCUUCGGAUUGUAAACCUCUUUGACAGGGGACGAAGUAAGUGACGGUACCCUGAAAACAAGCCACGGCUAACUACGUGCCAGCCGCCGC
rnacentral:rRNA from 1 species